rnacentral:lncRNA from 1 species
CCAUCUGCAUCUCCAUCCCCAUCUCAUUUCAACUUUUUCUUAUCUUCCUUACCCUUUCCUUUUCCAACCUCUUCUACUCUUUCCAUUGAAGUAAAAAAUGUUGGCACGAUUUCUGGUUGUUCACAAUCUCGUUGGAGUUCGGAGUUGAUUUUGGGUUAUGUUGGAUUGGGGUUUUGGUGGUGACCGGUGGCGCUAAGGAAAAGUGGGGGUCUAUUGGGUGGUCUGAUUGUUUCUAGUUGUUCACAACUGGCGGCGUUGUGAAAGUCGAGACUUAUUGGCGGAGUUAGUUUGGGGUUUUUGUUGUUUUUGUUGUUGUUGUUGUUGGUUCUCAUUUAUAAUUGUUGGUUGAAGCUUGUCGGAAAUGGUGAGAACGAAGGUAGUUUGGUCGGAGAAGGUGAGGAGGACGAGAAGAAGGCAAUAAGUUUGGGUUUUGUUUGGAACUGAAACAAGGGGUC